rnacentral:rRNA from 1 species
UACGGAGGGUGCUAGCGUUGUUCGGAAUCACUGGGCGUAAAGGGCGUGUAGGCGGUCUGUUAAGUCUGAUGUGAAAUCCCCCGGCUCAACUGGGGAACUGCGCGGGAAACUGUGGGGCUUGAGUUCGGGAGAGGGAAGCGGAAUUCCGGGUGUAGCGGUGAAAUGCGUAGAUAUCCGGAGGAACACCGGUGGCGAAGGCGGCUUCCUGGACCGACACUGACGCUGAGGCGCGAAAGCUAGGGGAGCAAACGGG